CAGCAGCCGCGGUAAUACGGAGGGUGCAAGCGUUAAUCGGAAUUACUGGGCGUAAAGCGCACGCAGGCGGUCUGUCAAGUCAGAUGUGAAAUCCCCGGGCUUAACCUGGGAACUGCAUUUGAAACUGGCAGGCUAGAGUCUUGUAGAGGGGGGUAGAAUUCCAGGUGUAGCGGUGAAAUGCGUAGAGAUCUGGAGGAAUACCGGUGGCGAAGGCGGCCCCCUGGACAAAGACUGACGCUCAGGUGCGAAAGCGUGGGGAGCAAACAGGAUUAGAUACCCGAGUAGUCCCUGUCUCUUAUAC
rnacentral:rRNA from 1 species